rnacentral:rRNA from 1 species
GACGAACGCUGGCGGCGUGCUUAACACAUGCAAGUCGAGCGGAAAGGCCACUUCCUUGGUACUCGAGCGGUGAACGGGGGAGUAAGACGUACGUAAGCAGCCCCUCCCUUUGGGAUAGCCACCGGAAAGGGAGAUUGAUACCGGAUAUGACACAUUUCCUCAUGCGUUUGGGUGGAUAGUUAUUCGGCGAGGGAUGGGCUCGCGGCGUAUCAUCUUGACGGUGAGGUAUUGGCUCACCAUGGCUUGGACGGGUAGCCGGCCUGGGAGGGGGGCCGGUCACAAUGGGACUGAGAGACGGACCAGACUCCUACGGGAGGCAGCAGUGGGGAAUAUUGCACAAUGGGCGGAAGCCUGAUGCAGCAACGCCGCGUGAGGGAUGACGGCCUUCGGGUUGUAAACCACUUUCUGAGCCGACGAAGCGGGAGUGACGGUAAGUAAUGAAGAAGCACCGGCUAACUACGUG